rnacentral:rRNA from 1 species
GGGGCUAAAGCCCCCAACCCACCCCAGGUAGGGACUCCCCUUAGUUAACAUUCCUUAGUUAACA